AACGAACGCUGGCGGCAUGCCUAACACAUGCAAGUCGAACGAGCCCUUCGGGUCUAGUGGCGCACGGGUGCGUAACACGUGGGAAUCUGCCCUUUGCUUCGGAAUAACAGUUAGAAAUGACUGCUAAUACCGGAUGAUGUCGAAAGACCAAAGAUUUAUCGGCAAAGGAUGAGCCCGCGUAGGAUUAGGUAGUUGGUGGGGUAAAGGCCUACCAAGCCGACGAUCCUUAGCUGGUCUGAGAGGAUGAUCAGCCACACUGGGACUGAGACACGGCCCAGACUCCUACGGGAGGCAGCAGUGGGGAAUAUUGGACAGUGGGCGAAAGCCUGAUCCAGCAAUGCCGCGUGAGUGAUGAAGGCCUUAGGGUUGUAAAGCUCUUUUACCAGGGAUGAUAAUGACAGUACCUGGAGAAUAAGCUCCGGCUAACUCCGUG
rnacentral:rRNA from 1 species